CGUUUUAACUUAAAUAUUCCACAGAUCGCCAAUAAAAUGUGUUGUUGUUAGAACCGUAUAUUUUUAAUAUUAAAACUUUUUUACUGUUGUUGAUUCUACAAAAUUGUCGAAAAAAUACUUUUUAAAUUCGAUCCACGUCUAUUUAAUGUAGUAAAUUGCGCUAUUUUUAUCCUGGAAAUUAUUUUAGCGUGUUUACUUUUCCACAAUUUUCCCUUUCGGAAUCUCUAAACGGGGAGGAAAUAUACAAAUUAACUAUUUUUAAGCGCGUUGUCUAAAAAUAUGGAAUAUUUUCAGUCCAGAAGCCCCUUUUAAAUUAAUUAUACGGUUAUUUAAUGCGCAAGUUUCGAUAUAAUGGUGCAGGAACAUUGGUUAGACAGUUAACUUCCGUUUAAAUUUUCUAGGAAUUAGAAACAACCGGUUUGGUGAUACUCCCGUCACGUGUUAACUCGUAUCUCCUCUCUUUCCUCUGAAUUAAUUUGAAAACAAUAUUAACUGGAUUUCUUUGAAGGAUUAUCUGUAAGCCCAGUCCUUUCGCGAAGGUAUACUUUAAAAAAGAAACCCAUCUGUAUAGAGAUAAUUGCUAUACCCAUCGUCAAGCUAAGGCCCCUGAUACUUUCUAAACAUGGUUAUCUUGAAUCGCUCAGGCAAGCGGGAUUUAUGGGGCCCUUUUCUACGAGUUUAUAAAGGCCUGAGGCCUGUGCCAGGAUCGUAAUAACUCAUGCUGGGCUUUGUAUAUUGCAGCGGGAUCGAAUAUCUGAACGUGCUUAUCUUUGGUUCCUGAAAGCUCGAGGAUUUAGGCGCGAGCCUAAGCUGUCCGUACCUUAAAAUAUAGAGUGAAAUUCGGGGCAUUUUACUGUGUUCCCUCGCUUUGUUUUCCCGUUUUACUCCUUUGUUUGAACUCUUGACACGGUUCGUUCCUCUGUUCUGGGCGAUAUCGCUUUACUUCUGGAACUCGUUUGCCUUACUUCACCCCUCCUCCGUCUAAUCUAAACCGGUGCGGUCGAUACUUUGUAUAAACUUCUUGCCGUAGUGUGACGUUCUAAUAUAGCACGCGCUAUCGAACCGCGCCACGCGUGACGUUCUAGAGCCAAAAUACGAUGACAUAAUUAGCGCGUUGACGGGUUCUUCGAUAUUUUCCCGAUGAUUAAGCAAUCGGAACGUAACACGCUCCCAAAAAUAAAAUAUGGAAGGCCGAGCGUGACGUCGGCCGGUGACGUUAUCGAAGACACUCCAUCAUAAACGCGUGUCGCACGUUAGGAAUGCGUCGCUUUCGCGCAUUUCUGUCGCUCGAAGAUGGCUCGGCCUUGACCUUAUUCUUUCGUUCCUCCUGCCGUUUCUUUUUCUCUCGAGAAGUAUGUUCAAAGAGACGAAAUCGCGUCGCUAAACAGGAGUGUGGCGCGUUUCUUGUUUGUUACGCUUUAACAGUGGAGGAAGGGUGUUACUAGGACGGACGAUUGUGACUGUAUGAACUGUAAUUCCCCGCCUGCAGACUGUAAUCGGAUUCUUUGAGCUUUUUUUGGUACAUUUGGCGCGGAAAAAAAACCCCCUUCUCCUCUCGCUCCAGUUGCGACCUUUCUGAAGUGUUUCUCUUUUUGUAAGCGCGUAAUUUAGAACGUGGUGACGAAAAUGUAGCGUAUAGCGUGGUAUUUGGAACCGUUUUAUCCACGUUUGUGUACUGAGAGACCUUGUUCUAUGACGUUUUAAGGGGGUAGUGCUCCCACCGGCGUGGUUUUUGGUUUCGUUUCCCCGUUCCCAAUCUUGCAAGUUUAAGGUUUCUUUUAGAAAUUCGGCGUGUAAUUUUGGAAUUCCGCUUCUAAAUUGAAGGUUCUUUCCUGCAUUGGGGGGUUGAUUUACUGAAAAUGAACUACCAUUGGCCGGCGUUAAACUUUCGAUUCUAUUAACGCAACCUAGUACAUAAAUUUCGGAUUACUUUAGUACUUUUUCCCGCUGGAACCAGGCUAAAUAAAUGUCGUUCGGUUCCUUAUUCUGUUACACAUUUACUAAAUCCAUUACGAGAUGAAGAAGCAGAGGAAUUGGAUGGGAGGAGUGAAGCUAUGGAGGAUAAAGUCUCCGAAAGAGAACAUGGAAGUCGAAGAUGAGUACGAAGAGACUCCACUCGGCGUCGCCAUCCUCACCUACUUCAGUUACAUGAUCCUCAUCAUCUUCGGUUAUCUGCGGGAGUUUCUCAGGAGAGUCGGACUGGAGGACCAGCGGUGUGCCGUGGAAAGGAACAGAGAGGGUUACGUUCCUCUCUAUCAGAAAUUCGAAAGCUUUUAUAAUCACAAUGUCUACAGAAGAAUCAGGGACUGUUGGAGUAAGCCCAUCUGCAGUGCUCCCGGCGUCAUGGUCGACAUCAAAGAUAGGGUCUCCACCGACUACAAUUGGCAUUUUACCAUAUUUCUUCUCCAAAAAGCUACUUAACUAAUCGGCCAGAGUUUUUCUUUAACGUCUCUCGUAAGCUGGUUGGUGGAUUUGAAUUUAUUGCAUGCCGUUCUGUUUUUUACUUUCUUGCCGUUAAACAUUUCUCGGCCGAAUUAAGUUUUUUCUUUUUUUAUGGUUGCAGCUACUUUGCCUUUACAAAAAAGACUGGCUUCGAGCUGUAGGCAUUCUCAAGCACAAGUAACGCAGGAUGCCAGGUACAUCCAUCAAAGCAGUCAAUUUAGGUUCCUAUAAUUAUUUAGGAUUUGCUAUAAACGAAGGAAGGUGUAUCGACAAAGUCGAGUCGUCCAUCUCUGCGUAUGGAGUGGGCGUGUGUACCACACGCCACGAAUUAGGUAAAAAAACCAAUGAUUUGUCGAUUUUCAUCCUCGUGAAUAUCGAAACGACACAUCGUAUUUUUAAGGUUACAAAAUAGGACUUUAUUGGAUUUAAUUAAUGUAUUUGCCAGCAUAUAAGAGGCACCCCAUUUUCAGAUGGUAUAUUUUUGAGAAAAAGUGUCUCUUAUAUGUGGUACAUUAAAUUCAAUAGAAAUUUAUACACUAGCAUAAUGACAUUUUAAAACUUUCAUAUCAAUUACCUUACCAAAACUUCCAUAAAUUAAUUAUUUAGAGAGAGAGCAAUGUUUAGUGUUUUUAUUAAAAUUUGUUUCACGUAGAUGAUGAUGAAAACUAUGCAAAGUUUGCUCUAGAAAUAAACUGUCCCACUAAAUACAUUUUUUUAGUUAUAAAAAUUUACCAAUAUUAUUAAUUUAAUUAAAAAUAAUGUAACCCACUUCUAAUCCGGUUUCAUAAAGGGAUGUUUUGUUAUUUUAAGGAUAUAAAUAAAUCUUUUGUUUGACUUGAGAACUUUGAACUGAAUUUGUUUGUAUAUUUAACAUUUUCGUAUUAGUUUUAUUAAUUAUAUUACUUUUUGUUUGUCAGAACUUGAAAAACACAUGAAAAGUUAACUUUAAAAAAAAAAAAGGUUGUUUUUUUAUGCUGAGUUAAUAAUAAUAGUAAUAAUAAUGGCUUGGUUAGUAAAAAACUUUCCAUAUUUACAACUGAACAACAACAAAAUACUUUAUUUGCUGCUUUCAGUUUUCACUAAGUAUACAACAACUUCGUCACAGCACUUCACAGCCUUCUCUAAACUCCAAAAACUUAACGUCACCUCUUCUAAAGUGUUGCCAGCCAGCCAUUUGGGCUAUCUUCCCACAUCUGUAAGCCCAAUUAGUUAUAUUAAAGCCAAAUGAUUGCUGUAUUAAAUCGGGCUAAAUUACUGUUGCUACUAAUAAUUAAGUGCUAAGUAAUUUGGUAUAGAUGUAGGUAAAUAUUAGCUGCCUUCUGUUAUUAAGUUUAAUAGUGCAAUCAUUUGCUACUGUUUUAAUUAUUGUAAUAAUUUAUAAAUAAUACAUUCCUUUUGAACUUAAAAAAUAAUACCACAAGAACGAAAUUAAGAUACGUGAAAGAUUAAGUACAAAAAAAAAUGACAAAAGUAACAUUAUUAUUGUAUAGAUGUUUUUAUAGAGAAAUUUGUUUUGAAAUUUACUAAUGCACGCACUGCCGCUUUCGAAAUGUAUUAAAAAUAUAUUAAUAUAUGUAUAUGAUGGACUAAAAAUAUUUAAUCUGUGCAAGGCAUAACCUGACAAGACAAACUCUGCAUAAUUGCUCUCAGAAAUCUAAGAAAAGUAUAAUGCAGUUGUAAAAAGCCAUAAAAGUACUCGAAAGUUUCAAUUCAUUUAAUAGAAGUCUGGUAAUACAAGUCAAGUUUGAGCUACAGUGGAGGAUACAGUUGUAGGCAGAUUCAGACAAUCCACUCAAUAAAAUGUAAAUCUUCUCUUGGUUUACAAGAUGUGUUCGGAAUGAGGUAUGCACUCGGUAUUGCAUAACAGAAGUGUAAAGUGGUUAUUGAUUUUUAUUUUCAAAUUACUUAAACUAGUAGCUUAACAUGUUUUAGUUCCUUUAUGUGACCUAACAAGUCGGAAAAUUGGAUUUGUAGGUGGUCGAUCUGCAAUGUCCGCUGCUGCUGCUGCUACAGAGUUCCUUAAAAAUACUUUGUUUUUAAAAUUAGUGUUCUUUGUUGGGUUUCUGCUAUUACUUAAAGGUUCCAAAACUUUUUGAAGCUGCAUCCCCUACUGUUUUGUAUCUCUUUCCCGUAUAUCUCCCUCUUUCUUCAAUCUUGUAUCUUUGCAAAAAGAAGUUUUCCGUCAAUGACUGCCAUCAAAAGCGAAAGCAAGAAAUUGCCUUGAAUUCAAAUGAUUUGAUUGUAUGCAUUUCAAAUACAGAGCCAAGAUUUGCAAAGAUAGUUUCUGAAAAACAAGCACACAUUUCACAUCAGUUUUCUGUUGUAAAUGCAAAAUAAAUGUGUUAAUUUGACUUUUUCAUUUUGUGUAAAACCUCUCAUGACUCCCAAGAGUGUUGCAACCAAUGUUCUAGAAACUGUGGACUUUUGAGGAUCUUGAAAUUAUUUUAAUACUUUGUGAGAAGCACUUGAUUAAAAAAAAACCAUAAUUUGAUUUUGGUGAUAUGUUAGCUUCCAAUUUUAUAAUCCUUACUUUUUGGAAAAAUUAGGACUUGAAUAUAAGUUGACCUCUUAUUGUUGAUUUUAU